GAUGAACGCUGGCGGCGUGCCUAAUACAUGCAAGUCGAGCGAACAGAUGAGGAGCUUGCUCCUCUGACGUUAGCGGCGGACGGGUGAGUAACACGUGGAUAACCUACCUAUAAGACUGGGAUAACUUCGGGAAACCGGAGCUAAUACCGGAUAAUAUAUUGAACCGCAUUGUUCAAUAGUGAAAGGCGGUUUUGCUGUCACUUAUAGAUGGAUCCGCGCCGCAUUAGCUAGUUGGUAAGGUAACGGCUUACCAAGGCAACGAUGGGUAGCCGACCUGAGAGGGUGAUCGGCCACACUGGAACUGAGACACGGUCCAGACUCCUACGGGAGGCAGCAGUAGGGAAUCUUACGCAAUGGGCGAAAGCCUGACGGAGCAACGCCGCGUGAGUGAUGAAGGUCUUCGGAUCGUAAAACUCUGUUAUUAGGGAAGAACAAAUGUGUAAGUAACUAUGCACGUCUUGACGGUACCUAAUCAGAAAGCCACGGCUAACUACGUG
rnacentral:rRNA from 1 species